rnacentral:rRNA from 1 species
AGGAAGUGCAUCUCCUCGCUCAUUCUCCUCGUCGCCUGGUCUAUUUGGAAACACCGAAACUCCUGCAUAUUCGAUGGUUGCACCCCGUCCGUCGCUCAGCUCCUGCACAUCAUCCAAGAAGAAGUGUGCUCCUGGACGAUGGGGAGGGCUAGAGGCCUCGCCACGAUCGCACCGUAG